UACGUAGGGUGCAAGCGUUAAUCGGAAUUACUGGGCGUAAAGCGUGCGCAGGCGGUGAUGUAAGACAGAUGUGAAAUCCCCGGGCUCAACCUGGGAACUGCAUUUGUGACUGCAUCGCUGGAGUACGGCAGAGGGGGAUGGAAUUCCGCGUGUAGCAGUGAAAUGCGUAGAUAUGCGGAGGAACACCGAUGGCGAAGGCAAUCCCCUGGGCCUGUACUGACGCUCAUGCACGAAAGCGUGGGGAGCAACAGG
rnacentral:rRNA from 1 species